AGCACAAGUAAUUUUUUAAACAACUGAAGAUCUGUAUAAUUUCGCAACCUAUUUGUAGAAUUAUGCAUAACUAUGGUAAAAGAAGACAUGUUAAUAUAGAGAAGCUGGACUGUAAAAAAAGUGUAUUCAGCAUGCGAAUUGUACUAUUUCUUUGUCUUCUCUUCACGUCUACUACCCAAGAUCUGGUAAGUAACACUGACGGAAGAAGCCCUUUUAGCGAUUACAAAAGGUAGGGAUUUUUUAAUGAUAUAGGAGGCAAACCUGAUGCUAUAAUUAAAAUUAAAAUCAUUUAUUUCAGACCGAUAAGAUCCAUAAUUUUGUUAGUAACAGAAAAAAAGAACUUUUACUUACAUCUUACGUUAGUACCAAUUAUCUUACAUAGCUAAGCGAUAACCGUCAGCCAUAGACACCCACAACACCAGAGGGGUUGUAAGUGCGUUGUCGGCCUGCUUAGAUUUUCAAGACGCUCUUUUCCUGAAGGUUUGAAGGUUGUAUCGGUCCGGAAAUACCGCAGGCAAGUUUAGCUGUGUGAGGCAGGAGUUUUCUGGAGAAACGCAUAGUUGAGGACUGCCAACCAUCUAAGUGGUUAAGAUGGAAAUGUUGUUACAUAGGGCAAUUGCGGAAAGAAGCGGCAGAGAUUAAUAAUGCGGCGAGCAUGAUCGGCGCUUUUGCACCUAGAAAGUCGCGAGGAAUUCAAAGUUUUAAUGAUUUAUGAAUUAUUGUAUGUCUAGGUAGAAGACACAAUUGCCGCAGGAUACAGCCUGCAGAACCAUAAGGUGAUCACAGAAGAUGGUUAUAUUCUAACCAUGCACCGUAUACCGUUUAACAACCGAGAGCACAUGUCUGAAGUGAAGCAAAUGCCGGCUAUUCUUCUCAUGCACGGGAUUAUGGGAACUUCAGCAGACUUUAUCAAUCAAGGUCCGAAAAGUAAACUAGCAUUCGCUUUAUCCGACGCAGGCUUGGACGUUUGGUUGGGUAAUGCUCGGGGCAAUCCUUUUUCCCGAGCUCACGAAACCCUUAACCCUGACAAGGACCCUAUCGACUUCUUCAACUUCAGCUGGGAGGAGAUUGCCAUUUUCGACAUCCGCGCUAUGGUUGACUACAUCAUUUCUACUACUGGCGAAUCACAGUUACGAUUUAUAGGUAAAAUGUGCAAACUGAGUGAACGCUCCAGCGGGGCGCGUUUAUAACAAACCAAUGGAAACAUAUGCGAGCGGCCUCACUGCACGCUGCAUAAAUCAAUUUGACGCUUGGCACCACGCUGCUUAUGCCGCCAAACGCUCUGCUAAACGCUUGCCACUCAGCACGUAUAUCUGCGAUGGAUUAUUGAUUAAUACUAUAUGUGUAUGAAUGAUGAUUGAACACUUUAAGCCACCAACCAAGAGCUUGAAUGGGAAAGAUUCUUAGUGGUUCUUUCCUCUUCGCCAACAACACAUACAUUCUAAUUUCACGUGGAAACGGUUGUGAAUAUGAUGCGAACUGUUAAGUAACUUUACUAGAAGUCCGUUCCAUCAGACAUAUAUUCACUAAAUAAACGGACUCUUUCUCUUAAUGAACCUUUAGCGAAUGACGUAGUCAGUAUUGUGGUCAACCAUCCUUGUGAAUUUUUUGUCUUUUUUUACCAUAGGAGACUCUCAAGGCGGGACUUCUUUCUUAAUCCUAAACCAUUUGAAGCGCGAGUACAAUAAGAAAUUCCAGAUGGCACAACUUCUAGAUCCCGUUGGGUAUACGAAAUUCUUCGCUUCGUCAGAGUUGAAAGCAAUAGCAACUAUAAUUGAUUCUCUAUAUGUAAGUAUUAUUUUUCAAUUAAAUGCUAUUGUGCUAUGUGUUCUGUAGCAUUAGAUUAAUAAGACUGUUAGCUUAACAGUCCUGACGCAAAACACUUUUUCGUAUAAUUUCAUUUUGACGCUUGAAGAUGUCUUUACAUUUCAUAGUACCUAUGUAUUAGUAUUUUCUCUGACAGUGGGGGCCCUUCUAUUAUGUCUUAAAAUUUAACGUGUUAUUGAUCUCUGUUUUAUUGUAAUAAUUAUUUAUUUCAAGAUUAUUGUAAUAAAAUAGGUACUUGCAUUGUAUUUUUAAUGUCACCAAGUAAGUAUUGACUUGUGAGAAAACCCUACUUAUAGAUUUUUAUUAAAUCGAGAGCAAUUGUCAACUAAUAGAGCUACCUACAUAGACUGGUCAACCGCCUGUAAUACGAACACAAACAGACACCAAGCGCUAUGUUUUUUUAUAUGAUCAUUGUAUUUUUCUAGUCAUUUCUAUAUUUGUAAAGAAAUUUCUUUUUUUUUAGAACUUAGCACAAGUAUCGGGUAUAGGAGAGAUAUCUACUUUGAAUAUGCCUCAAAAUUUAACACAUGUAAAGGUCACUCACCAAGUUGCAGUGCAGAGUAUUGUGUCGUACAUCGCAAGCUUGGGCGGCUUUACAUCCAUAGGAACUUCUCUCAAACAACUUGUUCACUACGCUCAGAAUAUCAGAGAUCAGUCCUUCCGUCGUUGGGACUAUGGCCAGAGCAUUAACUACAAAAUCUAUGGAACCCCCUCCCCUCCAUCAUAUAACUUAAGUCAUGUUACCGUUUACACUAUAUUGUAUUAUAGGAAAAAUAAUAAAUUUUUAGACGAAAAGGAUGUCCACGCUAUGGCUAGAGACAUGCCGAACGCGAAAGCUAUCGGAAAGUCAAACGAAUUUUCUUAUUCAGAUUUAAUAGAUAUUACUAGAACAAAAGGACUUUAAGAAUAGCCUAUUUACUCGCUCGCAUACGUGUAAAGAUAACAAUACUCCAGAAUAUUACGUCUUAAUAAUAUGUACCACCAAUAUAAUAAUUCAUAUGUACUUAUGUAACAUUUAAUCUCUAUUAGUUGGCAAUCAAUCCAAGCCGAAUUAUCGGCAAUUAUCGCAAAAUCAAAAUAUAUAAAUAAAUGUAUAAAUUAUCAAAAGGAGAUUAAAAGAUAAUUACACUGAAAUUCCAACAUCUCUAAACUUAUAAGUAAA